AAGGUGAAAAGCACCCCGUCAAGGGGAGUGAAAUAGUUCCUGAAACCCUGUCGCCUAUAAGCAGUGGAAGCACGGCUGGGGGCUUGCCCCCAUGUGUAACCACGUGCCUUUUGCAUGAGCCAACGAGUUAUGGUCUGCAGCAAGGUUAAGCCAUAAGGUGGAGCCGAAGCGAAAGCGAGUCUGAACAAGGCGCCCAUAAGUUGCAGGUCAUAGACCCGAAACCGAGUGAUCUAUCCCUGUCCAGGUUGAAGCCUGGGUAAGACCAGGUGGAGGACCGAACCAGUGUGCCUUAAAAAGCGCUUGGAUGAGGUGGGGAUAGGA
rnacentral:rRNA from 1 species